rnacentral:rRNA from 1 species
AUUGAACGCUGGCGGCAGGCCUAACACAUGCAAGUCGAACGAGUGGCGGACGGGUGAGUAAUGUCUGGGAAACUGCCUUAUGGAGGGAGAUAACUACGGGAAACUGUAGCUAAUACCGCGUACCAUAGGAUGAGCCCAAGUGGGAUUAGGUAGUUGGUGGGGUAAAGGCUCACCAAGGCGACGAUCCCUAGCUGGUCUGAGAGGAUGACCAGCCACACUGGGACUGAGACACGGCCCAGACUCCUACGGGAGGCAGCAGUGGGGAAUAUUGCGCAAUGGGAGCAAGCCUGACGCAGCCAUGCCGCGUGAAUGAAGAAGGCCUUCGGGUUGUAAAGUUCUUUCAGUAGCGAGGCGUUAACUACAGAAGAAGCACCGGCUAACUCCGUGCCAGCAGCCGCGGUAAUAC